AGGGGGUUCACCAGGAGGUUCGAGGCACCGAAUGGUGCUGGGGAAGGCAGAGCAGGGAGACUGAAGUGGUCCGACUACUGCCAGCCCUGCCUGCCCACCACUUGCCACCCAACUUACUGCUAGGCGACAGGAGGCCCCCGGUCUCUCGCUGAUUGGACGAGCCGGAGAGGAUGGAGCAGGAGGCAGGAGAGAAGAGGGAGCCAGAGAAGCCUGAGCUUACCGGUCUGCUGUCAGAGCCAGGGUCACCCCAGGGUUCCUGUCGCCCGCCCCAGUCAGCAUGAAGUGGAGGUUUCCCUGCACAGCCGCCAGGGAAGAGGCCUCUCCGGGCCCCAGGGCUCCCAUGGACACCAGAAUGUGGCGCCAGCACCCCUUGGCACCAGCUACUCACUACUCUCCCUGCCUCCCCGCCUGUGGCCCCACUCCCCACCGCUCCAUUAGGAGUGGGAAGACCUGGCCGGCCCGCCUCAGGGUGCUCUCUGUCCCCUCUCAGCCCAAGCUAAGGCAGGCGGAAGUGGCCAUUCGGGGAAGACAGCAUCCUUUCACCAAGAGCAGUUUGGGGCACUUGACCCCCCCCGGGAAUCACCGUCAGCCCAGCCACCCAGCCUUUCGGGAUUACCACCGUGGGAGUGCGUGAAGGUGGGGGGUGGAGCCACUGUGGCUCCAGAGAUGGCCUCCAGUUGGCUCAGAUGGGAG
rnacentral:lncRNA from 1 species